UAAUAAGAUCUAUUUUUUAACAUAUCACUCAGGCGGCGGGAGGGAUCUUGCACUAUCACUUGAUUUUUCUCUAUGUCAUUAAUUUCACUUACAAGAAUCAAUCUGUCAAAAGAAAAGCACUCGCAUACAAAUAUGAAAUGUUCGAUAUCACCAACAGGAUUAUUGCAGAAGGUGCAGUGGCUGCUCGCCACUAUGCCCAACCUAGCCAGGUGGGCCGGGACGGUGGAGUGACCAAAACGCAAUCUGUUUAUAGUCGUAAUAAAGUCGCGACUGGCCAUUUUCAGUUUGUUAUACCAUGGUGCCACAGGCCUCGAGGACCGCAUAUACCUCUGCAGUGAAAACACUGCAUUUAGGGUCCAGAAGAAAACUUUGACCAAACUUGGAUUGGGGAUCAUAAACAGCACUGCGCACAAAGAGCUCACUUUUACUACCAUCUGUAUACAAAUACAAUGAGAGGUAGAA